rnacentral:rRNA from 1 species
AUUGAACGCUGGCGGCAGGCCUAACACAUGCAAGUCGAGCGAGCGGCGGACGGGUGAGUAAUGUCUGGGAAACUGCCUGAUGGAGGGGGAUAACUACUGGAAACGGUAGCUAAUACCGCAUACCAUCAGAUGUGCCCAGAUGGGAUUAGCUAGUAGGUGGGGUAAUGGCUCACCUAGGCGACGAUCCCUAGCUGGUCUGAGAGGAUGACGCGCCACACUGGAAGUGAGACGCGGUACAGACUCAUACGAGAGGCAGCAGUGGGGAAUAGUACACAGUGGGCGCAAGUCUGAUGCAUCCAUGCCGCGUGUAUGAAGGAGGCCUUGGGGUUGUAAAGUACUUUCAGCGGAGAGGCGUUACCCGCAGAAGAAGCACCGGCUAACUCCGUGACAGCAGCCGCGUAAUA